UUUCAUAACGCCACGAAUCUCAGACGCGAUGUCUUAUAACUGGGAGCAAGUGAAGCGAAGAUCUAACAGUAGCUAGUGCAAGAUUGGUGAGGGAUAGGAGGAUGAUGAGGAGGACGACGAGGAGGCGCUGGCCCCGAGCAAUUCCGGUAAGAAAAAGCUUUGCGGCUGUGUAAUUGGCUGUGUAGCCCAACUGGGUGUAUUGCUUGGUGAGCUUGUCUAAGUUCAUCAGAUCCAGGUACAAGCAAGCGACGCAAUCCCAUGGCUUCGAAGAAAAGACGCCUCAGAAUGUGUUUGGAUCCAGAAUGUGAGAAGUUUCAUGCAUACACUCACUCUCUAACACUCACACACACACAUCGUGGGCGUUGGUUGCAGUGGUCGUCACCGAGUGGAAAACUGAUUUCACGUACACCAGGCUCCCAAUGAGUCUCUCUCUCUAUAUAUAUAUGUAUAUACAUAUAUUCAAAAUACAUGAAAAGAAGGUAACCAUUAUAUAGAAUGAGUAUAUAUGUGUAUAUAUAUAUAUAUAUAUAUAUAUAUAUAGAAAAUAAGGAUAGGAAUAAAGUGAUGGGGAUAUGUUAUAUAGAUGAACAAUCCCUUGACUCAUGAACUUUGAGUGAAGUUUUCAUGAAUAUGAAAUCCCAGGCACACUGUGUGGAGUUUUCAUGUGUA
rnacentral:lncRNA from 1 species